rnacentral:rRNA from 1 species
GACGAACGCUGGCGGCGUGCUUAACACAUGCAAGUCGAACGAAGUGGCGAACGGGUGAGUAACGCGUAAUCAACCUGCCCUUCAGAGGGGGACAACAGUUGGAAACGACUGCUAAUACCGCAUACUGAAGGAGGGGAUUGCGUCUGAUUAGCUAGUUGGAGGGGUAACGGCCCACCAAGGCGAUGAUCAGUAGCCGGUCUGGUAGGAGGAACGGCCACAUUGGGACUGAGAUACGGCCCAGACUCCUACGGGAGGCAGCAGUGGGGGAUAUUGCACAAGGGGCGAAAGCCUGAUGCGGGGACGCCGCGUGGGGGAUGAAGGCUUUCGGGUUGUAAACCUCUGUCGCAAUCGAACGGGUAGGUGGAGAAGAAGCGCCGGCUAACUACGUGCCAGCAGCCGCGGUAAUUC